rnacentral:rRNA from 1 species
UACGUAGGGUGCAAGCGUUGCCCGGAUUUAUUGGGCGUAAAGGGCUCGUAGGCGGUCCGUCACGUCGGGAGUGAAAACUCAGGGCUCAACCCUGAGCGUGCUUCCGAUACGGGGCGGACUAGAGGUAUGCAGGGGAGAACGGAAUUCCUGGUGUAGCGGUGGAAUGCGCAGAUAUCAGGAGGAACACCGGUGGCGAAGGCGGGUCUCUGGGCAGUAACUGACGCUGAGGAGCGAAAGCGUGGGGAGCGAACAGG